UCUGCCUCGGAAACUACAUAACGACUGGGAAGGACCUCCAAACAAGACUGGAACCAGUAGGAAGUUGUACAGUGGGAAGAAGAGGAUGGUCAAGAUUGACUGGCUGGAAGAUGAGAGAGCUCCCUCCUGAUGGUUUCUACUUGCCUUUGAAAUUCAUCAGCUAAGGCCAAGAAGAAGCAAGGGGUUCAUCAAAUCAAAUUUGAACCUUCAGCUACUCCACUUGAAAAAUCAUGAUGGUUGGUUUAAGAAUCAGCAAGGUCUUUGAAGUUCUCUGGAAUGCAAGGCAAAUUAUAACUGGCUUCUUAACUGACAUAUAUAAAGUAUUACAGGUUUAUUGUCAAAAAUUAAGGAAAUACAGAAAACUCUAAAGAAGACGAGAAACGGGCUUACCUGGUGGCACAGUGGUUAAGAAUCCACCUGCCAAUGCAGGGGACAUGGGUUCAAGCCCUGGUCCGGGAAGAUCCCACAUGCUGCAGAGCAGCUAAGCCCGUGUGCCGCAACUACUGAGCCUGUGAGCCACAACUACUGAAGCCCAUGCACCUAGAGCCCCCAUGCUCUGCAACAAGAGAAGCCACCACAAUGAGAAGCCCGUGCACCAAGAUGAAGAGUAGCCCCCGCUCACCACAACUAGAGAAAACCCACGUGCAGCAACAAAGACCCAACAUAGCCAAAAAUAAAUAAAUAAAAUAAAUUAAUUUUAAAAAAUGUUUAAAAAAAAUGACAAGAAGUCACUUCUAAUUCUACCACUUAAUAAUAA